UGGUUCAUAUUGAGGUCAAAAGGGUCCAAAAUUAAACUUUGUUUUAUUUCAUCAAAAAUUGAAUUAUUGGGGUUCUUUGAUAUGCCAAAUCUAACCGUGUAUUUAGAUUUUUAAUUUUUGGGUCCUGUUUUUUAAAUUGGUCUACAUUAAGGUCCAAAGGGUCCAAAAUUAAACUUAGUUUGAUUUUAACAAAAAUUGAAUUCUUGGGGUUCUUUGAUAUGCUGAAUCUAAACAUGUGUUUAGAUUUUUGAUUAUGGGCCCAGUUUUCAAGUUGGUCCAAGUUGGGGUCCAAAAUUAAACUUUGUUUGAUUUUUAACAAAAAUUGAAUAUAUGGGGUUCUUUGAUAUGCUGAAUCUAACCAUGUAUUUAGAUUUUUUAUUUGUGGGCCCCGCUAUCAAAUUGGUUCAUAUUGAGGUCAAAAGGGUCCAAAAUUAAACUUUGUUUUAUUUCAUCAAAAAUUGAAUUAUUGGGGUUCUUUUAUAUGCCAAAUCUAACCGUGUAUUUAGAUUUUUAAUUUUGGGUCCAGUUUUCAAAUUGGUCUACAUUAAGGUCCAAAGGGUCCAAAAUUAAACUUAGUUUGAUUUUAACAAAAAUUGAAUUCUUGGGGUUCUUUGAUAUGCUGAAUCUAAACAUGUGUUUAGAUUUUUGAUUAUGGGCCCAGUUUUCAAGUUGGUCCAAGUUGGGAUCCAAAAUUAAACUUUGUUUGAUUUCAACAAAAAUUAAAUAUAUGUGGUUCUUUGAUAUGCUGAAUCUAACCAUGUAUUUAGAUUUUUUAUUUGUGGGCCCCGCUAUCAAAUUGGUUCAUAUUGAGGUCAAAAGGGUCCAAAAUUAAACUUUGUUUUAUUUCAUCAAAAAUUGAAUUAUUGGGGUUCUUUGAUAUGCCAAAUCUAACCGUGUAUUUAUAUUUUUAAUUUUGGGUCCAGUUUUCAAAUGAGUCUACAUUAAGGUCCAAAGGGUCCAAAAUUAAACUUAGUUUGAUUUUAACAAAAAUUGAAUUAUUGGGGUUCUUUGAUAUGCUGAAUCUAAACAUUUGUUUAGAUUUUUGAUUAUCGGCCCAGUUUUCAAGUUGGUCCAAGUUGGGGUCCAAAAUUAAACUUUGUUUGAUUUUUAACAAAAAUUGAAUAUAUGGGGUUCUUUGAUAUGCUGAAUCUAACCAUGUAUUUAGAUUUUUUAUUUGUGGGCCCCGCUAUCAAAUUGGUUCAUAUUGAGGUCAAAAGGGUCCAAAAUUAAACUUUGUUUUAUUUCAUCAAAAAUUGAAUUAUUGGGGUUCUUUUAUAUGCCAAAUCUAACCGUGUAUUUAGAUUUUUAAUUUUGGGUCCAGUUUUCAAAUGAGUCUACAUUAAGGUCCAAAGGGUCCAAAAUUAAACUUAGUUUGAUUUUAACAAAAAUUGAAUUCUGGGGGUUCUUUGAUAUGCUGAAUCUUAACAUGUAUUUAGAUUUUUGAUUUUGGGCCCAGUUUUCAAGUUGGUCCAAAUAGGGGUCCAAAAUUAAACUUUGUUUGAUUUCAUCAACAAUUGAAUAUUUGGGGUUCUUUGAUAUGCUGAAUCUAACCAUGUAUUUAGAUUUUUUAUGUGUGGGCCCCGCUAUCAAAUUGGUUCAUAUUGAGGUCAAAAGUGUCCAAAAUUAAACUUUGUUUUAUUUAAUCAAAAAUUGAAUUAUUGGGGUUAUUUGAUAUGCCAAAUCUAACCGUGUAUUUAGAUUUUUAAUUUUGGGUCCAGUUUUCAAAUUGGUCUACAUUAAGGUCCAAAGGGUCCAAAAUUAAACUUAGUUUGAUUUUAACAAAAAUUGAAUUCUUGGGGUUCUUUGAUAUGCUGAAUCUAAACAUGUGUUUAGAUUUUUGUUUAUGGGCCCAGUUUUCAAGUUGGUCCAAGUUGGGGUCCAAAAUUAAACUUUUUGUUUGAUUUCAACAAAAAUUGAAUAUAUGGGGUUCUUUGAUAUGCUGAAUCUAACCAUGUAUUUAGAUUUUUUAUUUGUGGGCCCCGCUAUCAAAUUGGUUCAUAUUGAGGUCAAAAGGGUCCAAAAUUAAACUUUGUUUUAUUUCAUCAAAAAUUGAAUUAUUGGGGUUCUUUUAUAUGCCAAAUCUAACCGUGUAUUUAGAUUUUUAAUUUUGGGUCCAGUUUUCAAAUGAGUCUACAUUAAGGUCCAAAGGGUCCAAAAUUAAACUUAGUUUGAUUUUAACAAAAAUUGAAUUCUGGGGGUUCUUUGAUAUGCUGAAUCUUCACAUGUAUUUAGAUUUUUGAUUUUGGGCCCAGUUUUCAAGUUGGUCCAAAUUGGGGUCCAAAAUUAAACUUUGUUUGAUUUCAUCAAAAAUUGAAUAUAUGGGGUUCUUUGAUAUGCUGAAUCUAACCAUGUAUUUAGAUUUUUUAUUUGUGGGCCCCGCUAUCAAAUUGGUUCAUAUUGAGGUCAAAAGGGUCCAAAAUUAAACUUUGUUUUAUUUCAUCAAAAAUUGAAUUAUUGGGGUUCUUUGAUAUGCCAAAUCUAACUGUGUAUUUAGAUUUUUAAUUUUG